GCAUUAGAGGCCAAGCUAUAAUACCCACAUUUAUUGUCAAUGGGUUUCCCUUCAAGUAUUCAUGGCGCCCAUAAUCUUCAGUCCGUGUUAAUGGAUUGGUUUUAUGGCUUUAUUUGGUAAAUUGGGCUUUAAGUCUUUGAUGCUUUAUAUAAAAUUGGGUGGCUUUA